rnacentral:misc_RNA from 1 species
GCAGUUCCCUCAAUUAUUUCCACACCAAAAGCCAAAGAUGGUUGUUCUGUGGAGCCAAUUGGUCAUUAAAUCAGUGCUUUUAGUCUGUAGCAUUAUUUCUCUCUGCUUAUAUAGUGGCAGAGCAGAGGUUAAAGUAGAAAAUUUUAGUUUGGAAAAUAAAGGGGUUGUAAGCAAUAGCAAGUGCAAUUUGUUUCAAGGUAGAUGGGCAAUUGAUCCUUCUUUUCCACUUUAUGAUUCCUCAAAGUGCCCUUUCAUUGACCCUGAAUUUGAUUGCCUCAAAUAUGGUCGCCCUGAUAAACAAUACCUCAAAUAUGCUUGGAAACCUGAUUCUUGUAACUUGCCCAGGUUUAAUGGGAAGGAUUUGUUGCAGAGAUGGUCAGGGAAAAAAAUAAUGUUUAUUGGUGACUCGUUGAGUUUGAACAUGUGGAAUUCUCUGGCCUGUAUGUUACAUGCGUCGGUGCCCAAUGCAAAAACUACAAUUUCUAGGAAGGAGACACUUUCUUCUGUCACUUUUCAGGACUACGGAGUUACAUUAUUUCUUUAUCGAACAACUUACCUUGUGGAUAUAGUAAGAGAGAAGAUUGGAAGGGUAUUGAAAUUGAAUGCCAUUCAACAAGGUGAUGCUUGGAAAGGAAUGGAUGUGUUAAUUUUCAAUUCUUGGCAUUGGUGGACUCACAAGGGCAACUCUCAACCAUGGGAUUAUGUGCAAGAUGGAAUGAAAGUAUCAAAAGAUAUGGACCGUUUAAUGGCAUAUUACAAAGGUCUAACUACUUGGGCUAGAUGGGUUGAUGGAAAUGUUGACUCCUCUAAGACCAAAGUGUUCUUCCAGGGCAUUUCUCCAACUCAUUAUAUGGGUCAGGAAUGGGGGGCAGCAACAAAGAAUUGCAACUCAGAGCAAAUACCAUUAGCAGGAUCGACAUAUCCAGCAGGGACACCAGCAUCAGCAAUUGUGGUUAACAAAGUACUAAAUAGGAUGAAGACACCAGUUCAUCUCCUCGAUAUCACGUUUCUGUCUCAGUUAAGGAAAGAUGCUCAUCCAUCAAUGUACAGCGGCGGUCACCCUGGUGUAGAUUGCAGCCACUGGUGUCUCCCUGGACUACCUGAUACAUGGAACCAGCUUCUUUACGCAUCACUAAUUAUGUGAGGAUGAAAAACCUCAUAUAAUUUUCUCCUUUUAAUCUUCUUCCUUUCCACUGAAAUUAACUGUACAUUUGUGGACGUAUGUGAAGACCUUCAGCUCAAAACAGCCAGCAUUCAAGUGAACGUAGCAAUCAUUGGCGCAGUACUCCUGGACUUCUUAAUAAUUGGAGCCAGCUUGUUUAUGCAGCAGCAGUUCUACUCUGAAGACGAAGACUUCAUAUUAGUUUUAACUGCUCAUAGUUUGAUUCAAGGACAUACAAUAGCUUUUAGAUGCAAUAACUAAGGGUGCAUAGAAGUUCUAUUGAUUUCUAAUUACUAGCUUGAACUUUCCUUUCAUUUUGUUAAGCAAAUAGCGAAUAAAAGCAGAAUCUCUCUGCUUGUAUCUGGAUUGAGACCUAGUAAAUGUAAAAGCUUCUUAUCCAGAUAUGAAAUUUCAUGUGUAAGUCAGUUUUAUGAUUCACAACUAAGAGAUUUGCAACAUUUAGACGAA